UUUUCGUCGCCAGAUUUGUUGAACAAUUUAAUUGUUGCCGAUUUCAUCGGUAAAAUAAUCGAUUGAUUGUAUAUUUGUUGCUUAUUUUGAUUGCCUGAUUAAUAUGCAGACGAAAUCGGGUCCCUGUGUUUAUAAAUAUAAAUUGAAGCAAUCCGAAGCACAUCCCAGAACACGUCGGAAGACUAAUUCUAUGUGAUAAACAGUUAAUCAAGAAUUAUGCAGUUUGAGACGAUUCCAAAGGAUAACAAAGUGUUUGUGCACCAGGCCCUGUUCCCACCAAUAUCUACAGAAGUAUGGGCAUUCCUCAAAUAAUCGCCCAUGCCACCCGAUUAAACACCCUAUUUGAUCGGAUUGGAUUGUUUUGCACACCGAUCAAUCUAUAGAUUUAGUCAGAUCCACUCAAUGGUAACAUUUAAUAAACCGAUUUAACACCCUGUUUGGUCUGAUUUCAUUAUUUUGCUUAUCAAUUAAUCAAUAGAUUUAGUCUAAACUGCUUCCUAAUAAAAUUCAAUG